rnacentral:lncRNA from 1 species
CCAAUUUGGGUCAGAUUUGGGGUAUUUUGGGUCAGAUUUUGGGUCAGAUUUGGGGUUUUUUGGAUCAUAUUUGGGGCUUUUUGGGUCCAGAUUUGGUGUUUUUGGGGUCAAAUUUUGGGGUUUUUUGGGUCAAAUUUGGGGUUUUUUGGGUCCAGAUUUGGGGUUUUUUGGGUCCAAUUUGGGUCAGAUUUGGGGUUUUUUGGAUCAUAUUUGGGGUUUUUUUGGGUCAAAUUGGGUCAGAUUUGGGGUUUUUUUGGGUCAGAUUUGGGUUUUUAGGGUCCAAAUUGGGUCAAAUUUGGGUUUUUUGGGGUCAAAUUGGGGCAGAUUUGGGGUUUUUUGGGUCAGAUUUGGGGUUUUUUAGGCUCCAAUUUGGGUCAAAUUUGGGGUUUUUGGGGUCAAAUUGGGUCAGAUUUGGGGUUUUUUUGGGUCAGAUUUGGGGUUUUUUGGAUCAUAUUUGGGGUUUUUUGGGUCCAAAUUGGGUCAAAUUUGGG